rnacentral:rRNA from 1 species
CAAAAACAUGGUUUAUAGUUUUUAAUUUUAAGUCAGGCCUGCUCUAUGAAUAUUAUUAAAUGGCUGCAGUAAUUUAACUGUACAAAGGUAGCAUAAUAAUUAGUUUUUUAAUUGAAAACUAGAAUGAAUGGUUUAAUGAGAUAUAGGUUUUAUUAUAAUAAUAUAUAGAAUUUUAUUUUUUAGUGAGAAAGCUAAAAUUUAUUUAAUAGACGAGAAGACCCUAUAGAGUUUGAUAAUUAUUUUAAUAGUUAAAAUUAGAAUUUAAUUUAAUUAUUUAAAUUUAUUAUUUUAUUGGGGUGAUAGUAAAAUUAAUUUAAUUUUUAUAUUAUAUAUACAUUAAUUUAUGAUUUAAUGAUCCAUUAUUAGUGAUUAAUAAAUUUAAUUACCUUAGGGAUAACAGCAUAAUUUAUUUGGAAAGUUCAUAUUGAUAAAUGAGUUUAUGACCUCGAUGUUGGAUUAAGAUAAAUUUUAGGAGUAGAAAUUUAAAUAUUAAGUCUGUUCGACUUAUAAAAUCUUACAUGAUCUGAGC